UACGUAGGGGGCAAGCGUUGUCCGGAAUCAUUGGGCGUAAAGAGCGUGUAGGCGGCCAAGCAGGUCCGUUGUGAAAACUGGAGGCUUAACCUCCAGACGUCGACGGAAACCGCGUGGCUAGAGUCCGGAAGAGGAGAGUGGAAUUCCUGGUGUAGCGGUGAAAUGCGCAGAUAUCGGGAGGAACACCAGUAGCGAAGGCGGCUCGCUGGGCCGUUCCUGACGCUGAGACGCGAAAGCGUGGGGAGCAAACAGG
rnacentral:rRNA from 1 species